CACUCCUACGGGAGGCAGCAGUGGGGAAUUUUGGACAAUGGGCGAAAGCCUGAUCCAGCCAUGCCGCGUGCAGGAUGAAGGCCUUCGGGUUGUAAACUGCUUUUGUACGGAACGAAACGGCCUUUUCUAAUAAAGAGGGCUAAUGACGGUACCGUAAGAAUAAGCACCGGCUAACUACGUGCCAGCAGCCGCGGUAAUACGUAGGGUGCAAGCGUUAAUCGGAAUUACUGGGCGUAAAGCGUGCGCAGGCGGUUAUGUAAGACAGUUGUGAAAUCCCCGGGCUCAACCUGGGAACUGCAUCUGUGACUGCAUAGCUAGAGUACGGUAGAGGGGGAUGGAAUUCCGCGUGUAGCAGUGAAAUGCGUAGAUAUGCGGAGGAACACCGAUGGCGAAGGCAAUCCCCUGGACCUGUACUGACGCUCAUGCACGAAAGCGUGGGGAGCAAACAGGAUUAGAUACCCUGGUAGUCCCAUG
rnacentral:rRNA from 1 species